rnacentral:piRNA from 1 species
UCAACUGGCAGAUGUGAGUGGAGAAUUUCUC